AGAGUUUGAUCCUGGCUCAGAUUGAACGCUGGCGGCAGGCUUAACACAUGCAAGUCGAGCGGGGAAAGGUAGCUUGCUACCUUACCUAGCGGCGGACGGGUGAGUAAUGCUUAGGAAUCUGCCUAUUAGUGGGGGACAACAUUUCGAAAGGAAUGCUAAUACCGCAUACGCCCUACGGGGGAAAGCAGGGGACCUUCGGGCCUUGCGCUAAUAGAUGAGCCUAAGUCGGAUUAGCUAGUUGGUGGGGUAAAGGCCUACCAAGGCGACGAUCUGUAGCGGGUCUGAGAGGAUGAUCCGCCACACUGGGACUGAGACACGGCCCAGACUCCUACGGGAGGCAGCAGUGGGGAAUAUUGGACAAUGGGGGGAACCCUGAUCCAGCCAUGCCGCGUGUGUGAAGAAGGCCUUUUGGUUGUAAAGCACUUUAAGCGAGGAGGAGGCUACUUAGAUUAAUACUCUAGGAUAGUGGACGUUACUCGCAGAAUAAGCACCGGCUAACCCUGUGCCAGCAGCCGCGGUAAUACAGAGGGUGCAAGCGUUAAUCGGAUUUACUGGGCGUAAAGCGUGCGUAGGUGGCCAAUUAAGUCAAAUGUGAAAUCCCCGAGCUUAACUUGGGAAUUGCAUUCGAUACUGGUUGGCUAGAGUAUGGGAGAGGAUGGUAGAAUUCCAGUGUAGCGGUGAAAUGCGUAGAGAUCUGGAGGAAUACCGAUGGCGAAGCAGCCAUCUGGCC
rnacentral:rRNA from 1 species